CCUACGGGAGGCAGCAGUAGGGAAUAUUGGGCAAUGGAGGCAACUCUGACCCAGCCAUGCCGCGUGCAGGAAGAAGGCGUUAUGCGUUGUAAACUGCUUUUAUAUAGGAAGAAAUAGACCUUGCGAGGUAAGUUGACGGUACUAUAUGAAUAAGCACCGGCUAACUCCGUGCCAGCAGCCGCGGUAAUACGGAGGGUGCAAGCGUUGUCCGGAUUUAUUGGGUUUAAAGGGUGCGUAGGCGGUUUAUUAAGUCAGUGGUGAAAGACGGUCGCUCAACGAUUGCAGUGCCAUUGAUACUGGUAGACUUGAGUGGGAUUGAGGUAGCUGGAAUGGAUAGUGUAGCGGUGAAAUGCAUAGAUAUUAUCCAGAACACCAAUUGCGUAGGCAAGUUACUAAGUCUCAACUGACGCUGAGGCACGAAAGUGUGGGUAUCAAACAGGAUUAGAUACCCUGGUAGUCCACACUGUAAACGAUGAUAACUAACUGUUGGCUUUCGGGUCAGUGGUACAGAGAAAUCGUUAAGUUAUCCACCUGGGAGGUACGCCGGCGACGGUAGGUAACGUUAAAGGUAAGUUAGUACGGCGUGAGACGUAGACCGACGGACGACCGACGAGGGAGGUUAGGG
rnacentral:rRNA from 1 species